AGAAGCUUGCUUCUUUGCUGACGAGUGGCGGACGGGUGAGUAAUGUCUGGGAAACUGCCUGAUGGAGGGGGAUAACUACUGGAAACGGUAGCUAAUACCGCAUAACGUCNNNNGACCAAAGAGGGGGACCUUCGGGCCUCUUGCCAUCGGAUGUGCCCAGAUGGGAUUAGCUAGUAGGUGGGGUAACGGCUCACCUAGGCGACGAUCCCUAGCUGGUCUGAGAGGAUGACCAGCCACACUGGAACUGAGACACGGUCCAGACUCCUACGGGAGGCAGCAGUGGGGAAUAUUGCACAAUGGGCGCAAGCCUGAUGCAGCCAUGCCGCGUGUAUGAAGAAGGCCUUCGGGUUGUAAAGUACUUUCAGCGGGGAGGAAGGGAGUAAAGUUAAUACCUUUGCUCAUUGACGUUACCCGCAGAAGAAGCACCGGCUAACUCCGUGCCAGCAGCCGCGGUAAUACGGAGGGUGCAAGCGUUAAUCGGAAUUACUGGGCGUAAAGCGCACGCAGGCGGUUUGUUAAGUCAGAUGUGAAAUCCCCGGGCUCAACCUGGGAACUGCAUCUGAUACUGGCAAGCUUGAGUCUCGUAGAGGGGGGUAGAAUUCCAGGUGUAGCGGCGAAAUGCGUAGAGAUCUGGAGGAAUACCGGUGGC
rnacentral:rRNA from 1 species